UUUAGGUGUCGAUCCGGAAUCAUUUGGUUCCUCUUUCGAUCCCGUUUUGUAUAUUUUGUUUUCUGAAUUGUAUCUGGUAUAUAUGAAGUGUUCUGUACUGUGGCAUAUUAGCAGCAUCUUGAUUAAUACGAAUGAGUACAGGGAGAGAUUCGGGCUUAUGAAGAUGGUUAAUAUCUGGAAAGAUAGAUUGAACAUGGAAGCAACGUAAAUUACUUUUACUUCUAUUGAAGUUUUUCAUUGGGAAAUUGAUUGGCUCAUCAACUUUUCCUCAAGAAUUGCCUCUCAAAUUUUGUGUCUGUUACUAUAUUCUAAUCUGCAUUGAUACCCUAUUUUAAGGGAGGUACAGUCUGGUGUCGAAAAAUCAAAUGCAGGUCCUGGUUUAAAGAUCUUGUGUGUGUCCUCCUGCCUUUAUCGCUGAUGAUGAAGGAAAUUUGACUGAUGAAGUCAAUCCAUGCUUCAACAAGACUAAUUGGUCUUAUUGAAUC
rnacentral:sRNA from 1 species